rnacentral:tRNA from 1 species
AGACUGGUAAGUUAAGUUAAACUGUGGGGUUCAUGUCUCCAUCAUACAUGUUUUGUGUCUAGUUGA